rnacentral:rRNA from 1 species
GGGUCAGUAGGUUGGUCGUGCCACCGGUACGUACUGGUCUCACUGAUUCCUCCUUCCUGAAGAACCGUAAUGCCAUUAAUUUGGUGUCGCGGGGAAACAGGACUGUUACUUUGAAGAAAUUAGAGUGUUUAAAGCAAGCUAACGCUUGAAUACAUUAGCAUGGAAUAAUGAAAUAGGACGAUCGAUCCUAUUUUGUUGGUUUCUAGGAUUGACGUA